rnacentral:lncRNA from 1 species
UCCUCCCCGAGCCGGCUCUAGGGGUGCCAGCGCCUCCAAGGCGCGACUGUGCUAGGCUGUUGUGCUCGCUCUACGAACGCUAGGAGUCACUGCCCAGCCUUUACUGUCCAGAAGACGAGGUCUGAAAGUAUGAAAAGUCUCUUGACCUCCACCGGCCCGCUGCGUUUCCCUAGCAGAGGAACCUGGAGCUGUACGGCAGGCUUGAACUCCUGCCCUGAGCUCCUGGCCCUCCUCCACUUCUUUACCUCUCAGAGCCUUAUCCGGACACCUACACUAGCACCACCCCAGAAGCCAGGGCCUCAUGUCCUUGAACCCUGAUGGGCUGCAUGAAUUAGUUCCAAUUUGUAAUCCACUUCCAGAAUCCUUGCUGCCCCUGAAAAAUACACUGCCCACCUGUUCGUGGCUGCUGUUAGAUACUUACAUGAGGGCGGCACAGUCAGAGUACUAACAAGCCUGCAGUGCCCUCCACAAUGGGUAUAAAACUCAAAACUCAAAAUGGAUAUUCUGGAAUGAACUCGUGUUCGAAUCAGGAGGAAUUUGGACAUCCUUUAGUCUGCAACACCUGUUCCAUACUAGAAGAGACCCAAAGACAGAAAGUAACUUACUCAGUUAUCCAACAGGGGAUUGGGCAAUCUGGUCCACUGUGCCACGCACCACUCUAUGAAGCAGGUAGCUGGCCACUGCAGCAAGCAGAGGACUACACGUCAAUGCUACAGUUCCACUGGCCCACAGUGGUUAGGAUUUCACCCAGGAACAGAUGACACAUUGCAGUUAGGAAAUUUAUGUGUGGGGUGCCAAAGUAAACCGCAGAGAUGAAGAAGUAACCUGGGGCUAGUACAACAGGGAGGCCCAUUGUCAACCCAAGGCUUCAAGUCUAGAAGCAGGAUUUCCAGGAUCCAAAAAACAGAGAUACUGGCAAUUGAACCCAGGACAUUGUACAUGCUAGACAAGUGUUCUACCAUUGAGCUACAUCCUCGGCCCUUUUUUAAAUUUUUGAGACACAGUCUCACUGAACUACAAUCCUCCUGUGUCAGCCCCUUGAGUAAUUAGGAUUACAGGAUUGUGCCACCAGAUCCAGCUCCUUUUUUUUUUUUUAAGGACUUUAAUUCUAACUCCUUUUAGUUAGGACUAUAAUAAAAACAAAUUUUAAAAUCCCCCAA